rnacentral:lncRNA from 1 species
AUAUAAUUAUCUAUGGAAGAAGUUCACUCUAAUUCCGUAUAUAUUUAUAUAUAUCAAAAUCUUUAUCUUAUGUACUAACUAAACUAAACUCUAAAUAUAAAUAAAAAUUAAUUAAAGUUCUACUAAUUCUUCUCCAACUCAAUCAAUUAUCUCCUCGCAACUAACCUCAAAGUCAUUCUUCCGCACCAUCGCAUACAACCUCGCCGCCGCUGUGAGCCUCCGGUCCGCCGCGCUUCACCGUUGCUCUUAGUCUUUUUUCCGGUCGCCGCCUCCCCUCUUCGAAGGCCGGUUGAGGUUAGUUUUGAUUCUCGCUUCGUAUGUCGUCUACACCAGCGCCACUAUGAGAAGCAAGCAGCUUGUCUUUGUUGAAUUGAGAUCCAAGUAAAUUCUUGUGUAUCCUUAUAAAAUAUCAUAGGUGUUAAUAAAGCUUGUUAUUAUGGUCCUACUGAUUGUUCUCAAAGAUAUCAGGCUAAUUGGGAUGUUAAAAAAAUAAGUAUUUGUGUUCAAGUUAUCAUAAUAUCUAAAAAGAUAUCAGCUUUUUAGAAUUUGUUUGAGAAUUGAGCAUGCAUGUCCUCACUACGGAAGCAAGCGUCGUGCAUUCGUAAGCAAUAUUCUCAAUUGCGGCUGUCAAAAAAAUUUGGUUAUGUCAAAAUUUUGAGUUCGGAUAUUUUAUUCUGUGAAUAAUAAUAUUGGUUUGAAUUGUUGGGAAAGUUUUUAUAUAUGUAUUAAAGUUGUAGUUAAUUUAGUUGAUGUUAUAGCUUUUAUAAAACAAAAGGCUGAGUUAAACCAAUAGCAUCGCAUUAUUUCUCACUGUCAUUACCAAGAUAAGACUGACUUAAAGAGUUUUAGGCUUUCUAACCAUAUGCUGGCAUAUGGACUCCUCAUAAGUUUCCAGCGAGCUUAUAAUGUUGCUCGCCCUUUGAAUACUUUUCUGGUUAUAAUAUGUCCAGGUCACCCGACAAGUUAAACACUUCGAAGAGAACCAUUCCGUUCGAUUUCUCGCUUAAUUAGUCGGGC